rnacentral:lncRNA from 1 species
AAAAAGGAUAGUCGAUUUACAAUGCUUCUUCAGUUUCUGUUGCAUAGCAAGUGAUCCAGUCACACACAGUUCCCUGCGCUAUACAAUAGGGCUCCAUGGUCCAUCCAUUCCAAAUAUAACAGUUUGCAUCCAAACUGCCCAUUCAUCCCACUCCCUCCUCCCUCCCCCUUGGGAAUCCCAAGUCUGCUCUCCUUGGCUGUGAUCUGUUUCUGUUUCGUAGAUAGGGUCAUCUGUGCCGUAUUUUAGAGUCCACAAAUAAGGGCUAUCAUAUGGUAUUUGUCUUUUUGUUGUUGUUGUUGUUGUUGUUGUUUUUAGGACCACACCCGCAGCAUAUGGAGACUUCCAGGCUGGGGGUCAAAUCAGAGCUGCAGCCGCUGGCCUACACCACAGCCUCACCAAUGCCAGAUCUGAGCCUCAUCUGCAACCUACACCACAGCUCACGACAAUGUCGGAUCUCCAACCCACUGAGAGAGGCCAGGGACUGAACCUGAGGCCUCAUGGAUGUUAGUCAGGUUCGUUUCCACUGAGCCAUAACAAGAACUUCCUUAGUAUUUGUCUUUUUCUUUCUGGCUUACUUCACUUAGCAUGAGAACCUCUAGUUCCAUUCAUGUUGCUACAAAUUUAUCUUUUUUAUGGCUGAGUCAUAAUUCCAUUGUGUACUUGUACCACAUCAUCAUAAUCCAUUCAUCUGUUGAUGGACAUUGAGGUAAUUGCAUUCUAAAAUGCCAAGUUUCUUUAAAUAUAAGGGAGAGAAUAUUAAAAGACUAGGUGUUUUAGACAGUAUUUUUCUAAUGAUAUCAGUGUUUGGAGGACAUUAAUAUCUGUAUUUAUGAUAACUGAACAUUAAGCCAGUUUAUUCUUGCCAGAGCCACCAUUUUAUUCCUUCUCUUUGAUGUGUAUACUAAUACUUGUAACGAGUCAAAGUAUAAAGCAAUUUAAGCAUUCAUGCAGUGAUCAAAUUUGUCUAAAUCUAGAAAUUUAAAAAUACAUAGUAAAUAAACAUAGUUUCAAUCAACUAUCAAGUAUUUGUUGGAAAUUACUUUUGACAGCCGCUAGUAAAAAGUGCUAGAAAUUAAAAUUAAAUAAGGUUUGCUCUUUAUCCUUGGAUAUCUUAUAGGUUCUCAAGGGAAAAAACGUGUCUUGGACAGAUGCGUGCACAGGUACACAAAUGUAAAUGGAAGACAGUAUAUUAUUUAAUGCUGCAGGUGUUUAAAAGAAGUGAAUGAUGACUCUACACAGGAAAGAAGUAGUUGUUAAACAUGAAAUAUCAUAUAAACACAUAUAUAAAUGCCCUUUGAUGCUGAUAGUUAACCUCACAAUCCUGAAACUAAGAGCAACAGACAUGAUGGAGUGACUGACAUCAGAGGACACAGGAAGAGACGAGCGACGUCCCUGAAUUAUACAAACAAAAAUAGAAAAUAGAGAAUACCCGCUGCUUAGACAUUUAGUGAAUGUCUAAGUACUUAGACAUUACAUGUGCAGUUAAAAGCACCCAUACAUUACGUUAUUGCACUCUGUAAACACAAACACUCACAUUGUACAUACAGUGCACACAUACAUGCAAUAUGUGGUGUAGCUAUUCUAGCACUCAAGUUAAACUAGUAUCUAUUCCAUUUGAUAUUUAUGUUUAUUAAACUUGAAAAUGCUCUGCAUAAUUUCUAAAUUGUACCUAUAAUGUUAUGCAGAACUUAAAUUAUAAAUCUAUUAAAUUAUAUACAAAAUUUAUAUAAAUUACACAUAUGCUUAUUAUGCUACAUGGAGCUACGUACAAGCAUUUGUCUAUGAAAAGUAAAAUUCCAUUCGUUGCCCAAAGUAUUUGGUUAGCGUUCUGAAAGAUACCCUCUCCCCCACACACACAUUCUCGAAAGUUUUUUUUUUGCUUAUUAAACCUCAGCCAUUUGCCCUAGUCUCUCACAUUCACUAGGCCUCAACAAAGGCAUUAAGUGCUUUCCAGAACAUAGAUUUAAAUGAGGCCCCUGCCCAGUGGGCUUACAACCUAAUUAGACAGAGACAGUUGACCAACAUAUGCCCACAGACUCCAGUUGGCCACUUAUUUAUUCUCUAAUUAACAUAAAGCAGCAGGGCAACAGCUCCGCCUGUGCUCAGUGAGCAGGAGCGCGGCCCUGUGCUGUAGUACUCUGUGGGAAAUGAGACGGCUUCUUUCUGCGGGGGCCUCCAGCAUGCUCAUUCUCUUGCUUCUCGCUUGUCUCCAUAAUUAAUAUUCCUGUGCAUAGCUCGCUGGGACUGUAUGUCCAAGCAAACAUACCCUCACGGCACAGCAGAACCGUUUAGUUCAGCUGUCUUGGUGAUCAAUACAGGUCACAGGAGGGUCGACUUGACCAUUGCACAGGCAUCUCUAUUGAGAAGGUGGGCCAGGGUAAGCCACGGUGGUUACCCCAUGCUCUGAUUUAGCCAAACAAGGAAGUUUUUCACCUGAAAGCAUUAGAUCAUCAAGGUCCAGUGGCAUUUUUCUGUAAUUCCCACUACCCUUUAUAAGCCUUACUGCAGGCUCUUUGAUUUUUGAAAUUUCUCCCUCCCUCUGGGGUGCUCCACGAGAUUCUAAAAAAGAAAACAUUUGAAAUGACAUAAAACACAUAUAGUGCCAUCUUAUUUUUUAAAAAAUAUGUAUACUACAAUUUAAUGUGAUGAGAGAAGGAUAAGCACCAGAACAAUAAGAUAAAGUUUGAAAAUAAGUUGACAUCUGGAAUGCAUGUCAAGCACUCACAAGUGUUUGCUAGAUAAAAGCUUUGGGGAAGGUUGUGGAUGCUUUUACUAUAUAUUAAUUGUUUAUCCAGAGAAAAAAAUGCAAGCAAAAGAAUCAUAUUUUAUUUUCCUAACUCUGAGGAUAUAUUCGAUAGCGGAAAAGGCAAGCUACUUUGUUUUUUUAGGUUAUAGACAAAAAGUAUUGCCAGUUACCAUCCCUCUGAUGCUCUCUUUAAAAUUCUGUGUAAUGCUCUUGACCUAAUAUUCAUCCUUAUUUAUAUCUUCUAAGAAUAAAAACCUCCACAGCUGCACAGCCGUGAAUUUUUCACCCUGUGGUUUUCAAUCUGCUAUUAGAAAGCUGAUAUUCUUCUUUUGUGGGGGUGGGGUUGGGGUUGUUUUUUUCCCUAUUUUAAUUUAUUUUGAAAAAAUAAUAUAGACAUUGGAGAAUGUGAUUUCCUAUAUUAUUCUCUCCUUGUUUAACAUUCUAAUAUGUUUAACUUCACACAAGACUGCCACUGGAUAGUUAAUAUCAUUGUUUUAAAAUGUCUCUCAAAUGAACUUGAAAAUAAUAUAGUAGAUAUUUGAACUAGUAGGAAUGUAAUACUUAUAAUAAACACAUAUUUUCCUAUAAAUUGUGAAUCUGUGGACCUGAUGCUAUGUUGCUGAAAUAAAGAAAAUAGGCAAUUCCAUUCAAAAUAUAUAUAUUUUUAAUUAGUCAAUGCAUUCAAAAUAUUUAAAAGAAACUUUCAGACCUAAUGACAUUACAAAAGGGCUUAAUCUUCACAAGUAAAAUGAAGAACAGAAGGCCUGAGUCAAAAUAUAACAAAGAUCUAAGUUCUAGAUUUUUAAAAUUAUAUAACCAUUACUUAUAAUUGCAUCUAAACAGAGUCCCAGAAAUACCAAUGUUAUUAUUUUUGCAUUUAAAUUGAAUUGGUACAAUCAGACUUGUCACAUUUUAGAAUUUAGGAAUUCUUUUGAUAAAUGUCCUUGCUUUCGAACAUCUUGUUCUUUAGAAGUAAAUGGUCAUUUUAGUCUCUGAAUCAGAUUGUGCUUCGAUUCUUUCUUUUUUUGUAAUGCAUGUGUGAACAUGCUCUCCAUAGUAAAAAAAUUCAAAUUGAAAGGGAUAUCUAAAGUUAAUGUGUUUUUACUUAGGUCUACUUAAAACUCUACCUCUGGAAUUUGAAACUGUGCAAUUUUUGUGAGUUUUUUUUAAAUUUUAUUUUUAUUCCUUUUUUCCUCUCUCUUCUUCUAUCUUCGUUUUCAUCAUGGAAAUUUCAUGCAGCAGAAAAGGAAAUUCCAUCCAAGUUGAUCUAACCUGAGGGCCUCCUCCAAGCAUGCUGGAGAAUCAGUGCUCUGUCACCUCUGAGAGUAGAAUUCAUUUUGGAUUCUUGUAUUACCUGCCUCUGGUACUUGGGCACUUAUUUGUUGACUGACUGAGUUAUUUUAACUUUGGUAUUAUGUAAAUACUCUUUAUUGCACAAUUUCCAGUUUAGCAUUUUUAAAAUCAAGACUAAAUUGAAACAGUUAAAGGUGUAGUGCCUUCUCCCAUAUAAUAAGUACUUACGUACAAAUGUCCAAGCAAAAUGAAUAAAUCAAAGCUAGGAAGAAGAAAUUAUAAUGUUGUGAUUCUUGAAAUUCAAGUUAUAAAAUAUUUUCAUUCCUCCAAAUACAUUUCCUUAAGAAAAACAGUUAUUUGCAAAUGGUUGCAACCAUCAGCAGAUCAGCACUCAAAAAAUGUAAUAGUUAUGUCAGAAUUUGUAAGACUUAGUUGUUUUGAUGGUUCUUAAUAGGUGGAACUAGCAUUUCUGGGCUCUUGCCAGUUGACCAUCUGUCUAGGUGGUCCAUGGAGAAUCAGAACAACUGAACUUUUGGCACAUCCAAUUAUACUGAGCAACUACCAUCCCUGUUUUGGGUUACAGAGAGGAGAGCAUUACCAAAAGAUUAGGUUAAUUGAUUUAAUGCUGAGAAUUUUGGGAAUCUGGUGAUAUUCAUAGGAGCAUCUCAAUGAGCCAUAGUUAAGUAGAACCCAUUAAAAUGUAAAAUAAUUAGAUGAAGGUCCUCACUCUUAAAGGUGCUUCAUUACACUUUGAGGAAUUCUGUCAUAACAUUAUUCUUGCCUUUUGCAUACAAAAUAAUAUAUGAAAUAAGAUUUGCACUGUACAUAUCGCUAAAGGAAGGCAGCUAGUAAUUUUUAAAAAUUGAUAUUUUUGUUGUUGGAGUACUGGGAGGGAAAAACUACUUUUAAGUGGAGAUCAGGAAGUAGACUAUUGCAAGUGUUGUCUCAAAUAUAGACAUGCUUUUGAGAAAUGAAAUUAGAGUGGAAGGUUUUACCAGGCUGAGGGGCCUUUUAACUAAAAACAGAGGAGUGAGUUAGGGAAUUGGAGAAGACUAAAACUAACAGAGUCUUUUUUAUUUUAUUUUAUUUUAUUUUAUUUUAUUUUAUUUUAAUUUUUUUAUUUUCCCACUGUACAGCAAGGGGGUCAGGUUAUCCUUCUUACAUGUAUACAUUACAAUUACUUUUUUUUUUUUCCCCCACCCUUUGUUCUGUUGCAAAUGGAGUCUUUAGUGUCAUCUUUAGAAAUCUAGAUUUGGUCAUAGAGAGCCAGUAAGGAAUUUUGAGCAAUGGAAUCAUAACACUUUGACAAUACAUAAUAUGCAGGGAAAAGUGUAGUUAGAAAAAUCUGGGAGGAAACCCCUAUAAUUAUAAAAUAUAGAAGAAAUAGUGCUUUCACUAGG